rnacentral:rRNA from 1 species
UUUGCCCUACGGGGCGCAGCAGUGGGGAAUAUUGCACAAUGGGGGGAACCCUGAUGCAGCGACGCCGCGUGGGUGAAGGAGUAUUUCGGUAUGUAAAGCCCUAUCAGCAGGGAAGAACAAUGACGGUACCUGACUAAGAAGCACCGGCUAAAUACGUGCCAGCAGCCGCGGUAAUACGUAUGGUGCAAGCGUUAUCCGGAUUUACUGGGUGUAAAGGGAGCGUAGACGGAAAGGCAAGUCAGAAGUGAAAACCCAAGGCUCAACCAUGGGACUGCUUUUGAAACUGUCAAACUAGAGUACGGGAG